rnacentral:lncRNA from 1 species
CCAACUCCUGGAGAGGGGCCCAUAGCACACGAGUUACACCUACAUACUAUAUAUAAGCUCUACGUAAAGGGAGAGGUCAAGAGAAGGGACUCGGAAAGGCAAGUGACUAGACAUGGACGCAGGUGUUCGUUCACUUUUCCAUUCAUCUUUCCACAAGGGCUUAUUACGCACCUGCUGUGUGGCAGGUGCUGACACACAGGAAGGCACUGGGGAAGGGGCAUAAAGGCAGGCGCAGAGAGUUACUCGUUCAUUCAUUACUGGCAAUGUGUGUGCUUAACUGCCAGGCAUUGUGCUGAAUGCUGAGCAUACAGAGGGAGGAAAACAGACAGGGUCCGAGGUCCGGGACAUCUUCAGAGUUGCAUCUUGCACAUGAGACAGACAUUAAUCCGAGAAUUAUGUACACAUACAAGAGAUUACAGUUAGGAUGUAGGAGAAACCCGAGAUCCUCCAAAAUGCUCUGUGAGGGAGGGGGCUAACCCAGUUUAAGUUUUAGUAGACACUGAAAGGAUGACAAGGAGACAGCCCAGUGGAGCUGGGGCCAUGUGUCCCAGGAAGAGAACAGCAUAUGCCAAGGCCCUAGGGCAGAAAGGAGCUUGCACAGUAUGCUGAAGUGUAGUGAGCCGGGUGGACAGAGGAGCCUGGAGACAGGACCAGAUUGUGCAGGGACUUGUAGGUUGGGUUUUAUUCUUAGGGGGCUGUGGAUGGCUUUAAGCAGGAGCACAGCAUGAAUGGUGCAUAAAGGAAAGGCAGGAGCCUAGCCGAGUAUGGAGCAGAGGCAACUAAAAUACUGCAUCACACAGUCACUGGUCCUCCAGGCUUGCACUGGUGGCAGAGAGCACGCAGUCACACAUGCUGCAGCACAGGCAUGGUGUCGUGUGCAGGAGAAUCAGACAGCAAUCCAGGUUUCACUAUUUUCUCCAGCCGCUGGCAUUCAGGUGCAUGUGCUCUGGUCCCAGGCAGGAAGUUAGGGACCCCAGAGGUGCAAAAACCCCCUCACUCUUCCCCAGGAGCUGAGCACUGUCAGGACGCACAACCCAGGCAGGGAAGUGGGCGUGGUGACUGGGACCACGAUGGGCCCCAUGGAACACGGAGGACAGUGGCCAGGUGUGGGCAGGGAAGACUCCCUGGAAUGUGAUGCCCAGUCUGGGUCUUCAAAGAAGCACGUGUCUCCUAGGUGAUGAAGGGGACAAGGAAGUCUUUCUGGGCAAGAACAGUUGGGGCAGAAACCCAGGGAAGAGGAGCAGCAUGAUGUUUUGGGAAAGUGCUGACACCUCCGGGAUGCUGAAAUCCAGGGUGGAGGAAGAGGUCAGGCAGGGAAGUAUCUCUAAGCCAGGGUCUAGCAGUGCCUGAGUCGCAGACCAGCCGGAGGCUUCCUAAGGGCAGUGGAGAGGAUGACAGUUGAGGGGGGUAAAGGAAGUGGGUGUGCCGAGGAAGGGAUGGAGUUGAAGGUCACCGAGAAGGCAGGGUGCUUCAUUUCCCUUCAUUUGCUCAGCAAGUAUUUCCUGUGAUGCUGGGUGCAGGGGACUUCCCAUCCCGUCCUGUGCUCCGGGGGCUCCCAGUCUGGUGGGGAGAGAGACAGGGCUCAGCUGCACAAGGCAGGACCUGGUUAGUGAGGUACCAUGAGGUCAGGGUUACCUUGGGAAUAGGAGACAUCAGAAGGGGGACCGAUGAGGGAGGGGAUCAGAGUGGGCAUUAGAAAUUUGCUUUGGGGCCUGUGUGGAAGGGUUAGAAAUGGGGGCAGGGGAGGCUGGAGUGGGCGAGCCUGGGAGGAAUUCUGUGAUGGUGGUUUCAGGAAGGAGAUGCUGGAAAAUGUAGAGAGGAUACGAGUCAGUCAGACUAGAUAGGACUUAGUCUGAUGCAUGGAGAGAAGAGGGACAGGGAGGUGAGAGAAGAGGGGCGGGGAGGUGAGAAGAGGUCCAGGGAGAGGUGCAUUCAAGGGGACGAUUGAUGGGGAGGACAGAACUGGCUAGGGCGUGAUGGAUUCUGCAAUCCAAAGGCCAAACAGCAAGAAAGGUGGAGGGUGGGCUGCAGGAAAAGUGAGAUGGGGGG